UCAGAACGAACGCUAGCGGGAUGCAUCAAACAUGCAAGUCGCACGCGAAAGUUUUCUUCGGAAAGCGAGUAGAGUGGCGCACGGGUGAGUAACACGUAGCUAACGUACCUUUUCGCUGGGGACAACUCCGGGAAACCGGAGCUAAUACCGAAUGAUUCGCCCAGAGCUGAGGCUCAGGGCGGUAAAGCCGUAAGGCGCGAAAAGAUCGGGCUGCGUCCCAUUAGCUUGAUGGUAGGGUAACGGCCUACCAUGGCGACGAUGGGUAGCUGGUCUGAGAGGAUGGCCAGCCACACUGGAACUGAAACACGGUCCAGACUCCCACGGGAGGCAGCAGUUGGGAAUAUUGGACAAUGGGGGAAACCCUGAUCCAGCAAUCUCGCGUGAGUGAUGAAGGCCUUCGGGUCGUAAAGCUCUUUCAGCAGGGAAGAAGAUCUGACGGUACCUGUAGAAGAAGCACCGGCUAACUCCGUGCCAGCAGCCGCGGUAAUACGGAGGGUGCAAGCGUUGUUCGGAAUUAUUGGGCGUAAAGGGCGUGUAGGCGGCUAAGACAGUCUGGUGUGAAAGCCCGGGGCUCAACCCCGGAAGUGCACUGGAUACUACUUAGCUAGAGGACGAGAGAGGUGAGUGGAAUUCCUGGUGUAGGGGUGAAAUCCGUAGAUAUCAGGAGGAACAUCAGUAGCGAAGGCGGCUCACUGGCUCGUAUCUGACGCUGAGACGCGAAAGCGUGGGGAGCGAACAGGAUUAGAUACCCUGGUAGUCCACGCCCUAAACGAUGGAUACUAGUCGUCGGAACUCCUAAUCGUUUCGGUGACGAAGCUAACGCAUUAAGUAUCCCGCCUGGGGAUUACGAUCGCAAGAUUAAAACUCAAAGGAAUUGACGGGGGCCCGCACAAGCGGUGGAGCAUGUGGUUUAAUUCGAUGCUACGCGAAAAACCUUACCUGGACUUGACAUCUCGGGCUAUCCUGUGAAAGCAGGAGUUCCCUUCGGGGACCCGAAGACAGGUGCUGCAUGGCUGUCGUCAGCUCGUGUUGUGAGAUGUUGGGUUAAGUCCCGCAACGAGCGCAACCCCUGCCAUUAGUUACCAGCAUUUAGUUGGGCACUCUAAUGGGACCGCUGUGCUAUAAGCCAGAGGAAGGUGGGGAUGACGUCAAGUCCUCAUGGCCCUUAUGUCCAGGGCAACACACGUGCUACAAUGGGUGGUACAAAGCGCUGCUAACUCGUAAGAGCAUGCUAAUCGCAAAAAACCACUCUAAGUUCGGAUUGGAGUCUGCAACUCGACUCCAUGAAGUUGGAAUCGCUAGUAAUCGCGGAUCAGAACGCCGCGGUGAAUACGUUCCCGGGCCUUGUACACACCGCCCGUCACACCAUGGGAGUUGGUUGUACCGGAAAACGUUGCGCUAACCAGCCGUUUAAAGCGGCGGAAGCAGGCGUUUAUGGUAUGGUCGAUGACUGGGGUG
rnacentral:rRNA from 1 species